GAUGAAGAACGCAGCGAAAUGCGAUAAGUAGUGUGAAUUGCAGAAGUACCGUGAAUCAUCGAAUCUUUGAACGCAAAUUGCACUCUCUGGUAUUCCGGGGAGUAUGCCUGUUUGAGGGUCGCUUAACAAACCAUCGAUUUCGUUGCUUUUUUUUUAAAAAAGUGAUGUUUAUCGGAUUUGAGCUGUCUUUUUUUUUUUAUAUUUAAGUGGCUUAAAAUUGAUUUUUUUUGGUACGAUCGAAGCGUAUUUUUAUGAUCAAUUUUUGGUUAAAGAAACGCACACGUACCGUUAUUUAUAUGAUGUAAUACGUUUGACUAUCGGAUUUAGUUCAUUCGUAUACGAUAUUUUUCAAUAUUUGACCUCAAAUCAGGUAAGAACACCCGCUGAACUUAAGCAUAUCAAUAAGCGGAGGA
rnacentral:misc_RNA from 1 species